rnacentral:tRNA from 1 species
GCCCCGGUAGCUCAGCGGAUUAGAGCGCUUGACUUCGGAUCAAGAGGUCGCGGGUUCGAAUCCUGCCCGGGGUG